GACGAACGCUGGCGGCGUGCUUAACACAUGCAAGUCGAACGGAAAGGCCCUGCUUUUGUGGGGUGCUCGAGUGGCGAACGGGUGAGUAACACGUGAGUAACCUGCCCUUGACUUUGGGAUAACUUCAGGCAACUGGGGCUAAUACCGGAUAGGAGCUCCUGCUGCAUGGUGGGGGUUGGAAAGUUUCGGCGGUUGGGGAUGGACUCGCGGCUUAUCAGCUUGUUGGUGGGGGAGUGGCUUACCAAGGCUUUGACGGGUAGCCGGCCUGGGAGGUUGACCGGCGACAUUGGGACUGAGAGACGGCGCAGACGCCAACGGGAGGCAGUAGUGGGGAGUAUUGCACAAUGGGGGGAAGCGUGAUGAAGCAAUGCCGCGUGCGGGAUGACGGCUUUCGGGUUGUAAACCGCUGUCGCCUGUGACGAAGCGGGAGUGACGGUAAUGGGUAAAGAAGCACCGGCUAACUACGUG
rnacentral:rRNA from 1 species